rnacentral:rRNA from 1 species
AUGGAGACGCCAGCGCCGCCCCUCGAGGGCCGCUCCCGCCACCAUAAGCAGGUGCACGCCCACCUCCUCCGCCGUGGCCACCCCUUCCCGCCGGCAGAGUACGCCGAACCUGACCGCGCCUACCUCUCCGUUCUGCGCGCCGCCACCGCGACGCCAGUCCUCGCGCUCGCCGCUUGCGCCUGCCUCCGCCGCGCCGGCUUGCCAGCGCCGGGGCGCCACGCGCUCCCUGCCCUGCUCCGCGCCGCCGCCCGCGCGCGCUGCGCCGACUCUGUGAGGCAGGCGCAUGCCCUCGCCGUACGGGUCGGGGCCGAGGAUGAUGGGUUCAUCGGGACUGCGUUGGUUGGCGCGUACGCGGCGUGCCGGCGCGUGGCCGACGCCCGCAGGAUGUUCGAAGUAAUGCCGGAUCGGGAUCUCGUCGCCUGGGGCGUCAUGCUUGACAGUUAUUGUCAGACUCGAGACUACAGAGAAGCAUUGCUUCUACUCAAUAAGCUGAAGAGAUCAAGAAUUGUGCCUGACCAAGUCAUCCUUGCUACCGUUCUAUCAGCUUGUGGUCAUACACGACAUUUAAGAUCCGGAAAAGUCAUCCACUCAUACAUACUGGUCUCAGACAUUUUUAUCGACGCCCGCCUCAGUAGUGCCCUCUUAAACAUGUAUGCUACUUGUGCGGAUAUGGAGAUGGCCAAGAAGCUAUACAGCGGGAUGCAAAGGAAGGACUUGAUAUCAUCAACUGUCAUGGUCUGUGGAUAUGCUAAGAAUGGAAAAAUCGACAUUGCUCGCUCCAUAUUCAACUGUAUGGUGGAGAAGGAUGUGGUAUCUUGGAGUGCUAUGAUAUCAGGAUAUGCUGAAAAUAACCAACCAAGUGAAGCGUUGAUUUUGUUCAAAGAUAUGCAAGAGUGUGGUGUAUGUCCUGAUGAAAUUACCCUAUUGAGCGUCAUAUCUGCAUGUGCUAAUAUCUGUUCCCUUGACAAAGCCAGAUGGAUCCAUUCGUUUGUUGUGAAUAAUGGGUUUUGUAAGGUAUUGUCCAUUUGCAAUGCUCUUAUUAAUAUGUUCUCAAAGUGUGGAAGUUUGACUCUUGCCUUGAACGUGUUCAAUGCAAUGCCUCGAAAGAAUGUUAUCACCUGGACAAGUAUGAUUUCUGCCUUUGCUAUGCAUGGUGAUGGCAAAUCUGCCUUAGCCCUUUUUGACAAGAUGAAAAGUGAAGGGGUUGAGCCCAAUGGCGUGACAUUUCUUGGUUUGUUGUUUGCCUGUUGUCAUGCUGGCUUAGUUGAUGAAGGCCGUUCCUUGUUUGAAUGCAUGGUCCAGGAAUACAGGAUUGAACCCAAGCAUGAGCAUUAUGGUUGUAUGGUGGAUCUUAUGGGAAAGGCUAAACUUCUGCAGGAAGCAGUUGAUCUCAUAAAGUCAAUGCAUGUAAGACCUAAUGUGGCUGUUUGGGGAUCUCUGUUAGCAGCCUGCUGGAUGCAUGGUGAUCUUGAGCUCGGUGCAUUUUCUGCGAGGAAAAUUUUGGAGUUGGAUCCCAAUCACAAUGGAGCAUACGUGUUUUUAUCGAACAUGCACGCAAAAUCUGGUAACUGGAAUAAUGCUCGAGAGGUGAGGGGAGUAAUCGAAGGCCAUAGGGUUUCGAAAGAAACAAGCUCCAGUCGGGUAGAGCUGAAUGGGAUUGUCCACUAUUUUGGAGCUGGAGGUGAGAAACAUCAGGAAAAUCAUAAGACCCUUCUAAAGCUUAGUGGGAUAAUUUCUAAUUGA